AGUGAACGCUGGCGGCAGGCCUAAUACAUGCAAGUCGAACGGCAGCACAGCAGAGCUUGCUCUGUGGGUGGCGAGUGGCGGACGGGUGAGGAAUACGUGGGAAUCUGCCCAGUCGUGGGGGAUAACGUAGGGAAACUUACGCUAGUACCGCAUGCGCCCUUCGGGGAAAGCCGGGGGACCUUCGGGCCUGGCGCGAUUGGAUGAGCCCACGUCGGAUUAGCUAGUUGGCGGGGUAAAGGCCCACCAAGGCGACGAUCCGUAGCUGGUCUGAGAGGAUGAUCAGCCACACUGGAACUGAGACACGGUCCAGACUCCUACGGGAGGCAGCAGUAGGGAAUAUUGGACAAUGGGCGCAAGCCUGAUCCAGCCAUGCCGCGUGAGUGAAGAAGGCCCUCGGGUUGUAAAGCUCUUUGUCCGGAAAGAAAAGCGCCGGGUUAAUACCCUGUGUCCUGACGGUACCGGAAGAAUAAGCACCGGCUAACUUCGUGCCAGCAGCCGCGGUAAU
rnacentral:rRNA from 1 species